GAGGCGGCAUGAACUCUGCAUGGUCUGGCUGCUGGGUUACGUGGUAGCAGCAAGUCAGGGCUUCACACACUGCAGCCACCAGGUCCACCUGGGGACGAGAGGAAGAAGAGAAAGGAGCUGAAAAGAAGAGGGUUGCCAUAGGAGAAGCCCAGGAGCCCUUGCCCUGCCCUUCAGCCCGUGGAACUCAGCAUCCAGAAAUGCAGCUCCAGACUCUCAGUCCUGCUACAGGUGCCUGACAGGCCCAGCACAGCUGUGCUUCCCAGAGGAGGGGUAAACUGGACAGAGGACAGAAGGUAAACUGACCCAAUAGCAGUGCAGCAGUGCCUGUGCAGGAGCCACAGGCCACCGCAUGAGGUUGGCAAUGAGCAUUACUGGCUGUCUUUGUUUGACCUCAGAGAAGUGCAGCCACCAGCAGCACCACCAGAUGCAGGAAUUACUUUCAGGGAUACUUUGAGUGCAUCACCAAGGUAAGGAAAAGCAAACACACAUUGUGCAGUUGCUGCAUUACCCUCUGUGCCAGUGCAGGGGAAGAGCGUGCUUGGGGCACCCAUCUCUGCUGGCAGCAGCUUCUGUCCAUGCUGUGGACUCCCUACUUGGCUCCCACCUCUGGUCAGUGCAGGGUGUCCGUGAGUCUAGGAUGGAUUUGACUAGGUGAUGUCAGACCAGAUGAAUCCUGGUUUAAUUGACCAUGGGUGAAAUUGUGCUCUGAUGGUUAAUGUUAUACUUGGGUCUGGGAAAACUACUGCACAAUCAUAGCAAUUAGAGCUGGAAAUGAUUCAAGUCAUCUAAUUUAUUUCCUCUCUCCCCCCGCAUUGUCUCUCCCAGGGAUGGAGCAGUAUGGUUCCCAACUACGUGUACCCCUGUGCUCUGUCCCAUCCUGUCUCACUGACUCAAGGAGUAGAGCAUCCACGUGUCCCUGUGGGAGACAAUUCCACAGCUUGAAAGACGUCAACAUGUAUAUUCCAUGAAUUGCACCUUGACUCAUGAAAGUCUCACUGCUGGAAAUUUGUUCGGCUCCUCCAAAUUCACCCCCUUUAGCUUGCUCCUAUCACUGCCACUAAAACCACCACAGGAGUGUGGAGCUAAUCAAAGGACAAAAAGCAUCUGCUCUGGAGGAAGGAGUAGCAGAAACCCCUUGAAAGGUGACACGGAAUGGGCAUGGGGUUGGAUUCCACUGCAUGCAGAGAGGACUACGGGGAAAUUUAUUGUGCAGAGGCAAUGGGGACAGAGUCAAAGAAUCAUUAAGGCUGGAAAGGACCUCUUAUCUCAUCCAGUCCAACUGCCAGUCCAUCCCCACUAUGCUCAUUAACCAUGUUCCUCAGUGCCACAGCCACAUGGCUUUUGAACACGUCCAGGAACAGUGACUCCACCGCCUCCCUGGGCAGCCUUUUCCAAUGCAUCACCACUCAUCAGGGUAAGUUUUUCCUAACAUCCAACCUGAACAUCCCCUGGUACAACUUAAGGCCAGAAGCAACACCCAAAGGGAUAAGGGCUUAUGAGCACAACAAAAACUAGACUGGGACAACAUCUACGUUAUGAAAAGUCGGAGCCAUAUUACUUUCUGAUGAUAAGGUCUCCUGCUUCUGAAGAGGGCCUGACAGCACCACUAUUAUGGUAAAAAGAAAGGAGCAGCAUGAAAAUGACUGGAGCCAUAGAAGUGCUUGUGCUCUCAGGGAGCUGCAUUAAACAAUUUUUUGCAAUUGAUCAGAUGUAGCAGCUUCCUUGGUGUGCCGUGACAUGUCUCCCACCAACAUGAGUCACAGCUGAGUCUCUGACUGUAAAGUUCAAACCACAACCAGUUCCAGUUGUGGACCAACUCAUAAUUAAAUCAAUGAGUCUUAAUCACAUCAUGACAUCUUGCAAAGAACAUCUGGAUGACAACUGAUGCUACACAGGAGCCCCUCCUGCCGGCAGUUGUUGCCCCUGGUGCCCAGUGAGGAGCAGCCCUGGCCACAUUCACAUGCCACUUCCAUCUUCCCGUGAUGACCUGCAGUGGGUUGGUGUUCUGGAUGAAGCACACUUGGGGGGAAAUUAGAUGAAAAGAAGGCAACCAACCACUCUCCUAGAAAGAAAAUCAUUACAGAUUAUUUUGGCGGAGAAGACAAUGUAAAGCCACAGGUAGUCUGCUCUCUUCACCCAACCCCACAAGGACCUGAGACCAACUCAUCUAUGGAAGUCCAUUCUUCCUCAUGGGUUACACCAAAACCAGCACGGGCAUUCAAUAAGCCAAGAUCUU